rnacentral:rRNA from 1 species
UACGAAGGGGGCUAGCGUUGCUCGGAAUCACGGGGCGUAAAGGGGGCGUAGGCGGGUUUUUAAGUCAGGGGUGAAAUCCUGGAGCUCAACUCCAGAACUGCCCUUGAUACUGAAGAUCUUGAGUCCGGGAGAGGUGAGUGGAACUGCGAGUGUAGAGGUGAAAUUCGUAGAUAUUCGCAAGAACACCAGUGGCGAAGGCGGCUCACUGGCCCGGUACUGACGCUGAGGCACGAAAGCGUGGGGAGCAAACAGG